UUGGUUUAUCUUUUUACAGCAGUUUUGUGUUUUGUACCUCAUUCCCAAAUAAAAGGAAAUGUUCAGUCCCUACUGAAGUUAACUCCCUGGAACUGGAAGCACCUGAACACCUCAGUCAAAGUGGACUCCCCAGUCUCCGUGGACAUUUCUGUCUUGUCCCACUACAGACUUACGGGGAAACACUUCAAUAAGUAUCAACACAUACAAAAAACAAGGGAUUGUUCAGCUAUUCUAAAAUCUAUUCCACAUACAAAAGGAAGAAAUGGCGUCUAUGUUAUUUACCC